rnacentral:rRNA from 1 species
AUACGAAAGGUGCAAGCGUUGUUCGGAUUUACUGGGCGUAAAGAGAUCGUAGGUGGUUUAUUAAGUCGGAUGUGAAAUCCCGGGGCUCAACCCCGGAACUGCAUUCGAUACUGGUAGACUAGAGUUUGGGAGGGGUAAGCGGAAUUCCGUGUGUAGCAGUGAAAUGCGUAGAUAUACGGAGGAACACCUGAGGCGAAGGCGGCUUACUGGACCAAUACUGACACUGAGGAUCGAAAGCGUGGGUAGCAAACAGGAUUAGAAACCCUUGUAGUCC